CCUACGGGAGGCAGCAGUGAGGAAUAUUGGUCAAUGGCCGAGAGGCUGAACCAGCCAAGUCGCGUGAGGGAUGACUGUCCUACGGAUUGUAAACCUCUUUUGUCAGGGAGUAAAGUGACCCACGUGUGGGUGUUGGUGAGUACUUGAAGAAAAAGCAUCGGCUAACUCCGUGCCAGCAGCCGCGGUAAUACGGAGGAUGCGAGCGUUAUCCGGAUUUAUUGGGUUUAAAGGGUGCGUAGGUGGGUUAUUAAGUCAGUGGUAAAAUUGUGGAGCUCAACGCCAUCCAGCCGUUGAAACUGAUAAUCUUGAGUGCGCGAGAAGUAGGCGGAAUGCGUGGUGUAGCGGUGAAAUGCAUAGAUAUCACGAAGAACUCCGAUUGCGAAGGCAGCAUACCGGCGCCCGACUGACGCUGAAGCACGAAAGCGUGGGUAUCGAACAGGAUUAGAUACCCGGGUAGUC
rnacentral:rRNA from 1 species